GUCGGGAAUAUUGCGCAAUGGAGGGAACUCUGACGCAGUGACGCCGCGUAUAGGAAGAAGGUUUUAGGAUUGUAAACUAUUUUAGACAGGGAAGAAAAGGACAGUACCUGUAAAAUAAGCUCCGGCUAACUACGUGCCAGCAGCCGCGGUAAUACGUAGGGAGCGAGCGUUAUCCGGAUUUAUUGGGUGUAAAGGGUGCGUAGACGGGAAAUUAAGUUAGUUGUGAAAUCCCUCGGCUUAACUGAGGAACUGCAACUAAAACUGAUAUUCUUGAGUGCAGGAGAGGAAAGUGGAAUUUCUAGUGUAGCGGUAAAAUGCGUAGAUAUUAGGAGGAACACCAGUGGCGAAGGCGACUUUCUGGACUGUAACUGACGUUGAGGCACGAAAGUGUGGGGAGCAAACAGGAUUAGAAACCCUUGUAGUCC
rnacentral:rRNA from 1 species